GUCCCGGUCGUCUAGUCCGGCCCAGGACCCCAGAUUUUCAUUCUGGUAACACGGGUUCGAAUCCCGUCCGGGAUACCA
rnacentral:tRNA from 2 species